rfam:Trichinella patagoniensis scaffold71s, whole genome shotgun sequence.
UUCAGUGUCUAACUGUAUUGUAUUAUUUGGAAGAUCAAAGUAAAGCAUCUGUUCUUAUCAGCUUAAUUUCUGGUAUGAAUCCCAAGUGGAUUCGUUAAGAAAUUUGCAUAAGUUUUUGAAAAAAUAGGCAUUUGGUCGAGUGCUCGCACCACCAUUUGUCGCGGGUCGUCCUGAUAUUGCACUACAUUCAGGAACGGCCUAUUCCCC